AUUGAACGCUAGCGGGAUGCCUUACACAUGCAAGUCGAACGGGUGGCGGACGGGCGAGUAAGGACUGGGAAACAGCCCGACGGAGGGGGAUAACUAACGGCAACGGUAGCUAAUACAGCCUACUUUCGGAUGUGCCCAGAUGGGAUGAGCUAGUAGGUGGGGUAGUGGCUCACCGAGGCGACGAUCCCUAGCUGGUCUGAGAGGAUGACCAGCCACACGUGAACUGUGACACGGUCCAGACUCCUACGGGAGUCAGCAGUGGGGAAUAUUGCACAAGGGGCGCAAGCCUGAUACAGCCAUGCCGCGUGUAUGAAGAAGGCCUUCGGGUUGUAAAGUACUUUCAGCGGGGAGGCGUUACUCGCAGAAGAAGCACCGGCUAACUCCGUGCCAGCAGCCGCGGUAAUAC
rnacentral:rRNA from 1 species